rnacentral:rRNA from 1 species
GGGGAAUAUUGCACAAUGGGGGAAACCCUGAUGCAGCGACGCCGCGUGAGUGAAGAAGUAUUUCGGUAUGUAAAGCUCUAUCAGCAGGGACGAUAAUGACGGUACCUGACUAAGAAGCCCCGGCUCACUACGUGCCAGCAGCCGCGGUAAUACGUAGGGGGCAAGCGUUAUCCGGAUUUACUGGGUGUAAAGGGAGCGUAGACGGUUAUGUAAGUCAGAGGUGAAAGCCCAGGGCUCAACCCUGGGACUGCAUUUGAAACUAUGUAACUGGAGUGCAGGAGAGGUAAGUGGAAUUCCUAGUGUAGCGGUGAAAUGCGUAGAUAUUAGGAGGAACACCAGUGGCGAAGGCGGCUUACUGGACUGUAACUGACGUUGAGGCUCGAAAGCGUGGGGAGCAAAC